rnacentral:rRNA from 1 species
UACGGAGGGUGCAAGCGUUAAUCGGAAUUACUGGGCGUAAAGCGCACGCAGGCGGCUGAGUCAGUCGAUUGUGAAAGCCCUGGGCUUAACCUGGGAAUUGCAGUCGAUACUACUCAGCUAGAGUAUGGGAGAGGGUAGUGGAAUUCCCGGUGUAGCGGUGAAAUGCGUAGAUAUCGGGAGGAACAUCAGUGGCGAAGGCGGCUACCUGGCCCAAUACUGACACUCAGGUGCGACAGCGUGGGGAGCAAACAGG